rnacentral:rRNA from 1 species
CCUACGGGUGGCAGCAGUGGGGAAUAUUGCACAAUGGGCGAAACCCUGAUCCAGCGACGUCGCGUGAGUGAAGAAGUAACUCGUUAUGUUAAGCUCCUUCAGCAGGGAAGAAAAUGACGGUACCUGAGUAAGAAGCCACGGCUAACUACGUGACAGCACCCGCGGUAAUACGUAGGGGGCAAGCGUUAUCCGGAUUUACUGGGCGUAAAGGGAGCGUAGACGGGAUUGCAAGUCUGGAGUGAAAGUCGGGGGCUCAACCGUAGGACUGCAAUUGAAACUGUAAGGCUGGAGUUGAGGAGAGGUAGGCGGAAUGCGUGGUGUAGCGGUGAAAUGCGUAGAUAUCAGGAAGAACUCCGGUUGCGAAGGCAGCUUACUGGACUGCAACUGACGUUGAGGCUCGAAAGCGUGGGUAGCAAACAGGAUUAGAUACCCUAGUAGUC